CUUCAAGAAUCUAGAUGGCUUCUAAGGAGUAUGUUGGAUAGAUCUCAAUGGAGUGACUUGGGAGAGCUGAUUGUUAAAAUUCAGAAGAGAUGGCAUGGUGUAGUGGAUAAAGAAGUACCCUCAAAUCCAGCAAGACCUGGGAUCAAAUCCUACCCCUUCCCCCAUACCAGCUUUGUGAACCUGUCAACUCAUGAUUUUCCUAUAAGACUUUACUGAUAAAGGUGUGAAGAUUCGCAAGGAAAACUCCAACAGGGAAGUCAUAUACUAACAUCUCAGCACCAGGUACUGAAUAGUUUCUCCUACCAGCCGUUGGAACUUUUAAUGAGUGGUUGGCAACUUUUUAAUGGACACUGUACAGAAAAAUCUUUGUGGUGUUUGCUAUGGCUGAGGACUUAGGAUGCAAUAAAACAUGGUCGGCUAACCAAAUGGUGGCGUGGUGUGCUUUCCUUGG